GGGGUGCUCGAGUGGCGAACGGGUGAGUAACACGUGAGUAACCUGCCCUUGACUUUGGGAUAACUUCAGGAAACUGGGGCUAAUACCGGAUAGGAGCUCCUGCUGCAUGGUGGGGGUUGGAAGGUUUCGGCGGUUGGGGAUGGACUCGCGGCUUAUCAGCUUGUUGGUGGGGUAGUGGCUUACCAAGGCUUUGACGGGUAGCCGGCCUGAGAGGGUGACCGGCCACAUUGGGACUGAGAUACGGCCCAG
rnacentral:rRNA from 1 species